rnacentral:rRNA from 1 species
GACGAACGCUGGCGGCGUGCUUAACACAUGCAAGUCGAACGGAAAGGCCCUGCUUUUGUGGGGUGCUCGAGUGGCGAACGGGUGAGUAACACGUGAGUAACCUGCCCUUGACUUUGGGAUAACUUCAGGAAACUGGGGCUAAUACCGGAUAGGAGCUCCUGCUGCAUGGUGGGGGUUGGAAAGUUUCGGCGGUUGGGGAUGGACUCGCGGCUUAUCAGCUUGUUGGUGGGGUAGUGGCUUACCAAGGCUUUGACGGGUAGCCGGCCUGAGAGGGUGACCGGCCACAAUGGGACUGAGAUACCGCCCAGACUCCUACGGGAGGCAGCAGGGGGGAAUAUUGCACAAUGGGCGGAAGCCUGAUGCAGCAACGCCGCGUGCGGGAUGACGGCCUUCGGGUUGUAAACCGCUUUCGCCUGUGACGAAGCGGGAGUGACGGUAAUGGGUAAAGGAGCACCGGCUAACUACGUG